UAUUGGUCAAUGGACGGAAGUCUGAACCAGCCAUGCCGCGUGAAGGAUGAAGGCGUUCUGCGUUGUAAACUUCUUUUAUUUAGGAAGAAACCACCGAUUUCUAUUGGUGUUGACGGUAUUAAAUGAAUAAGCACCGGCUAACUCCGUGCCAGCAGCCGCGGUAAUACGGAGGGUGCAAGCGUUAUCCGGAUUUACUGGGUUUAAAGGGUGCGCAGGCGGUCUUAUAAGUCCGGGGUGAAAUGCUACAGCUUAACUGUAGAACUGCCUUGGAUACUAUAGGACUUGAAUCGAGUAUAGGCCAGCGGAAUACAACAUGUAGCGGUGAAAUGCAUAGAUAUGUUGUGGAACACCGAUUGCGAAGGCAGCUGACUGGGCUUGUAUUGACGCUCAGGCACGAAAGCGUGGGUAGCGAACAGG
rnacentral:rRNA from 1 species